CUUGAGUUCAGUUCUCUGCAACAUAAUGCUUAUGAGUCAUAACGAGUUAACGUAAGAACAGACCAGCGGGACACCAUGGAGGAGAUACAGAAGGAGGUCGUCCGGCUGUGCAACGGCUACCCGGAGGGUCUUCCAAUACAGGAGAUCCAUGGCCUCUACCAGCGGACCUACGGGAAACCCCUGCGUCUCGGGACCCCUAAAAGGUUUGCCCCGCUGCAGACCCUGCUUAGGAGCGUGCCUGACCAUCUCUAUCUGUGCCCCGAUGGGGAGAUGGUAGUGUGGCCCAUCGCAUCUCGGCCAUCGGCCUCGCGGUCGGC
ensembl:lncRNA